GUUGCUUCUCCACCUUUUGGCUAGGGUAAAGUGUAGUAUCUGCUCUUAUCAAUUUGAUAAAUGUAUUUCUGGAAGUAGGAGAUGGAAUAGGUGCUUGCUCCAUUUGUGCCAUGCAUUACCUGUGUUGCAAUACUUCCAGGAAUGAUGGUACACCC
rnacentral:snRNA from 1 species